GACUUGGCUGACACUUGGUGAGGAUGGGCGCAGCUCCGACACUAGCUUUUAGGCUUUGCGGGGAGGAGAAAAGAGCAGGAGUCGCCGCACUCAGGAAUCCCAAGGUGACGCCGCUGCCUACCGGCUUCCCUCCUUCCCCCUCCUGGCUGUGGAGCGACUCCGAAAAGUUCCCCCGGCGGAGACCGCACCGCGCGGCGUGGGCACCGGGCCUCGCUCUCGGGCAGCCAGAAGCAGCAGCGUUGCCCCUGCCCAGCUGAGGGAGUACACGGAGCUCUUAGUUACUAUGUGAGCAGGAAUCCCUGCUGCGCAAAUAGACACCAACACACGGUGCAGGUCGUGAAGCUAAGUAGAUGUAAACCCCUCCCAACACUGGAAGAGGGAACAGAGACUGGCAUGCUGUGCAGUCUCACUGAACUAGAAUGCGCAACUCCUGCUCCUAUCUCCACUCUGGGAAAUGCCUGCUGCAUUUCACGGCCACGGCAGCACUUGGGAAAGGAUGGUAUGUACUUGCUGCAGAGGCCCUAGAGAUGGCUAUCCUGUGUUCCUGCUCUCCUUCUCAUUGGGCUUCUACCCCCAUCCCCCAACAAAAACGCUACAGGUUAUAAGAUCUACAUUUUGAACCUGGCUUUCAGGCACUAGGUGUGUUCUGUGUGGCACAACUCUAGGGGCAACAUAGCCUUGACCAUCGUGGUGAAGGUGUCUAUUUACUAUGAUACAUUUCAGCAGAUGGCAGUGAAGUGUCUUGCGGAAGAGGUGUUUUUAUCAUUUGAAGGUUAUGGGAUGUAAUAAUAAAGACUGCAAUUCACAGACCUUGAGCCUAGCAGACCAAUGCGAAGGGCAGAACUGUUGGCCCCCACGGCACAGUUCCACGGCGAAGGGGGCUGGCUAGUGAGGAGAAAGGAAGAUAGAAGACUGAAGUAAGAUGUAAACAGCCGUAUUUUCAACAUAAUUUACUACAGGUCUCUGAAGUGUAUAUAAAAUGUUUUAGUGCAACAUCUUACAAAUAGUUUUCCUUUAAAAAACAAAAACAAAUCAACAGCUCUCUACAUCAUGCAUGGGUAGUCUUCUUACCCCAUCUUUUUUUUUUCUUUUCUUCUUCAAUAAUUAACGCAGAGAAACCAUUGUUUGAAAAGAAUAUGAAAACUUGCUACAGAAACACCCGGUGAAAGAGGGUGCGGUCAUAUUCAUGUCUUGGAAUGCGCCUAGCACAGUGUAGUUUUUCAUAAAUGCAACGUUGUAGACAUAGAUGAAUCGAGAGUAUUCAGCGUUUUCCUCUCGGUCUCAGAAGACUAAGGCUCCAGUAGACAAUGCGCAGUGAGGCCUCAAAGCCACUGGAGGGCACCAUUACCACUCAUCUGACAUCGCAUUUCCGUAGAAAUGGCCAAAGACUAAAGUAAGUCCUGGGGUUCUUCAUGGGAAGUUCGAAAAA